rnacentral:misc_RNA from 1 species
ACGUAUAUCCGGUUGCCUGCAUUCCGCUCCGCGUUCCGCGUUCCCUGCCUCUCUCACAUUUUAUUGGCGUCCGUUUUAAGUUUGUCAGUUUUUAGUUAUAAAAUUUACGUGAUAACAGUAUUUUAAAGUGAUCUUAGUGUUUAACAUUAAAUAGGAAACAUGUCUUACGGAGGUCAAGGUGGUGGCGGAUUCCGAGGCAGUCGCGAAAGCUUCUCCGGGGGCGGAGGUGGCGGCGGAGGUCGUGGUUUUGGCGGCCCAAGAAGCGGAGGAGGGGGAGGAGGAAGCGGAGGAUUCCGUAGCGGCGGUGGAGGAGGAGGCGGUAGCGGUGGCGGUGGGUUCCGUAACGGCGGAGGUGGGGGAGGCGGUGGAUUCCGUAACUCCGGAGGAGGCGGUGGCGGAUUCCGUAGCGGUGGAGGUGGCGGGGGCGGUGGUUUUCGAAGCGGCGGAGGUGGAUCGGGCGGCGGUGGAAGAUUUGGGGGCCGAGGAGGAGGCGGGGGCGGCCCAGGUCGCGGAUUACGCAAGCCCCAAUGGGAUAUGAACUCGCUACGCCCUAUAAAGAAGGACUUCUACGUGCCUCACCCUGCUGUAAGCAGUCGAUCCCCUUACGAAGUGGACGCGUACCGCCAAGCCAAAGAGAUCACCGUGGACGGGGACGUUCCAAAUCCGAUUCAAAAUUUCGAUGAAGCCUGCUUUCCGGACUACGUCAUGCAGGAAGUAAGAAAUCAAGGUUAUGAUGCUCCUACUCCAAUCCAAGCGCAAGGCUGGCCAAUCGCUCUGAGCGGUCGCGACCUAGUUGGAAUAGCUCAAACCGGAUCGGGAAAAACACUAGCCUACAUCCUCCCUGCCAUCGUGCACAUCAAUAACCAACCUCGUCUCAGUCCCGGCGAUGGCCCCAUCGCGCUCAUCCUGGCCCCCACCAGAGAGCUGGCUCAGCAAAUUCAGCAAGUGGCCACCGAUUUCGGCCGGUCCUCCUACACGCGCAACACCUGCAUCUUCGGCGGAGCUCCAAAAAAUCCCCAAAAAUGGGAUCUGGAAAAGGGCGUGGAGAUUUGCAUCGCCACUCCGGGCAGGUUGAUUGAUUUCCUUCAGAAGGGAACUACAAACCUUGCCAGGUGCACCUAUUUGGUUCUGGACGAAGCCGAUCGGAUGUUGGACAUGGGUUUCGAGCCUCAGAUCAGAAAGAUUAUUGAGCAGAUCAGGCCGGACAGGCAGACGCUGAUGUGGUCGGCGACGUGGCCAAAGGAAGUGAGGAAGCUGGCGUCGGAUUUCAUGAAUAACUUCGUGACUAUUAAUAUCGGGUCGAUGCAGCUGUCUGCUAACCAUAACAUUCUUCAGAUUGUCGACGUGUGUCAGGAACACGAAAAGGAGUUCAAACUCAACCAAUUGCUGCAGGAAAUCGGCAAUAAUUCCGAGGCGGGCGCCAAAAUAAUAAUUUUCGUAGAAACCAAGAGAAAGGUGGAGCUGAUCACUCGUAACAUCCAGCGUUACGGUUGGCCCGCGUUGUGCAUGCACGGGGACAAGAGCCAGCAAGAACGUGACUUUGUUCUCAAGGAUUUCAGAACAGGAAAAUCAACUAUCCUCGUUGCCACGGAUGUGGCAGCUCGAGGUCUAGAGGCACAAGCAGGCUCGGCGUAUUCGGCACUGGCAAUAAAAUGACUAAAAAUCUUAACCUAAACAAACAGAGUGCCAAUGAAUACGCCAUUAAGUUGUGUUCUAAAUAAAAAGGACACCGGUCUUGCGGGUGUCUCUGGCUGGCUGUCCGAUCCGGGAGACCGAUGGGCACCUUUUUGAUGUUUGGCCGCAUCAAAUUGUUGGCAUAAUCCUUGUAACGGUUGUCCACGCUGAAGGAACCGCACUCGCUAAUGUCAACCUGUCGGUCCUGCAGUGGCCGGGCUGCGAGAAGCGAGACCACUGCAGCAGCAACACAAUCUUUAAAUCGAUUUAGUGCUACUAUAGAUGUAACAAAAAACGAAAAAAUCGAAGCUGCUCAACGGCCAGAGCACCAAGGACGUAGACGGAAUAAGGUACGUUAUAAACUACGACUAUCCCAAUUCUUCCGAGGACUACAUCCACAGGAUAGGAAGAACGGGCCGAUCUGACACAACAGGAACGUCUUACGCUUUCUUUACGCCUAACAAUUUCCGAC